GAUGAAGAACGUAGCGAAAUGCGAUACUUGGUGUGAAUUGCAGAAUCCCGUGAACCAUCGAGUCUUUGAACGCAAGUUGCGCCUCAAGCCAUUAGGUUGAGGGCACGUCUGCCUGGGCGUCACAUAUCGUUGCCUGAUGCCAGUUUCCUCGUGAUGGGUGUCUGUGCGGGGCGAAUGAUGGCUUCCCGUGAGCAUUGUUGCCUCAUGGUUGGUUGAAAAUUGAGUCCUUGGUAGGGAGCGCCGUGAUAGAUGGUGGUUGAGUGACGAACGAGACCCAAUCAUGUGAGACCCCUACCGAAUUUGGCCUUCAUGACCCACAUGCGUCUUUGGAACGCUCAUGACGAGACCUCAGGUCAGGCGGGGCUACCCGCUGAGUUUAAGCAUAUCAAUAAGCGGAGGA
rnacentral:misc_RNA from 1 species